UGGAGACAAAGCAGCUGCUAUUUUUUGGAUUCAGUUUUUUUACUCUUCAUCCUUUGGGAGACAAACCAGCAUCGUCCUCGUCCUCGUCUUCUGAAGCGUCCAGCUGUCUGGACACAUCUGGAUCUAUCUACCUAGCCCCCCCGCCUGCUGUGUUUUCUACUCGACUGUUACUCACUGACUGCAGAAGGUUGGAACUUGGACCGGACUCUUUGAAGAAGAUCAAAACAACAUGGAGGCUUUUCCUUUCUCUCAGAACUGUUGGUUAUAAUUUGAGGAUGAAGACAGAGCUCUGACGGGAUUGGUUGUCAGGAGGUAAACGUCUCGCAUGCAGAGAUUUGAUUGGCUGACUGCUCCCAACCACAGCAUUUUGGUUGACUCGAAAAUAAAAACUUCUCAGGUAACCAGAUCUGGGGGGGGGGUUGUGUGUGUGUGUGUGUGUGCGUGUGCGUGUGCUCGACCAAUCAGGAGUCAGUCUCAGCUGUCAAUCAUCAUGUCUGUUUUAUAUCAUCAAAUAACUGAUUCAAACCAAACUGAUCAGAAACACUUGAACUUGUUUGGUCCCAUCUGCUAACAUGGAGGAGGUGGGGUGACUCAGCCACCAGGGGGCGAUCCAGAUGUUUUGGCUUCAGUAUUUGGAGCCAUCACGUCAUCGUCCGCCAUCUUUAUUCACAGACUGUGGUUUGAACGGUUUGAGUGCAGAGGUCACGGUGCUCGGAGGUCAAAGGUCGUGUCCUCUCACGCCGACCAGCUGUGAGAACUAUGUUGUUUUAAACAUGAUUUACUUUGUUGUGUGUUUGUGUUGUUGUCUCUUCUGUGAUGAACAUGUAACGUGAAUGUCUACGAUGCUGCUGCUGCUGACGAUGAUGAUGAUGAUGAUGAUGAAGAUCAUGAUUCAAACUCAAAGAUGAAUAUUUUUCUGUAUGUUCUUCAUUUGACCGUCGGUGCAUCGGACACGUGAAGCGACGCGUGUUCGAAUCCGGACGAUGAAACAAAACUCAUGAAAUCCAGAUCACCUCGAUACACCAGAAAUACCUCAGACUUUUCUACGUCUUCUGUUUCUAGAUUUGAUUUGUUCUUUGUAGUCACAUGAUAUUUGAUUCUUGUUUUUUAUGAUAGUGAAUGUCUUAUGUAUUGAAAUGUUUCCAGGUUACGAGUCUCACUCAUCCACAUUGUAAAUACUUUAGAAGAAUAAACGUGUUUUCAGACUGAA